rnacentral:rRNA from 1 species
AUUGAACGCUGGCGGCAUGCCUUACACAUGCAAGUCGAACGGUAACAGGUCUUCGGAUGCUGACGAGUGGCGAACGGGUGAGUAAUACAUCGGAACGUGCCCGAUCGUGGGGGAUAACGAAGCGAAAGCUUUGCUAAUACCGCAUACGAGCUACGGAUGAAAGCAGGGGACCGCAAGGCCUUGCGCGAACGGAGCGGCCGAUGGCAGAAUAGGUAGUUGGUGGGAUAAAAGCUUACCAAGCCGACGAUCUGUAGCUGGUUUGAGAGGACGACCAGCCACACUGGGACUGAGACACGGCCCAGACUCCUACGGGAGGCAGCAGUGGGGAAUUUUGGACAAUGGGCGAAAGCCUGAUCCAGCCAUGCCGCGUGCAGAAUGAAGGCCUUCGGGUUGUAAACUGCUUUUGUACGGAACGAAAAGACUCUGGUUAAUACCUGGGGUCCAUGACGGUACCGUAAGAAUAAGCACCGGCUAACUACGUGCCAGCAGCCGCCGUAA